GACGAACGCUGGCGGCGUGCUUAACACAUGCAAGUCGAGCGGUAAGGCCCUUUCGGGGGUACACGAGCGGCGAACGGGUGAGUAACACGUGGGUGACCUGCCCUUAGCUCUGGGAUAAGCCUGGGAAACUGGGUCUAAUACCGGAUAUGACUCCAUGACGCAUGUUGUGGGGUGGAAAGCCAUGUGCGGCUAGGGAUGGGCCUGCGGCCUAUCAGCUUGUUGGUGGGGUGANGGCCUACCAAGGCGACGACGGGUAGCCGGCCUGAGAGGGCGACCGGCCACACUGGGACUGAGACACGGCCCAGACUCCUACGGGAGGCAGCAGUGGGGAAUCUUGCGCAAUGGGCGAAAGCCUGACGCAGCGACGCCGCGUGGGGAUGACGGCCU
rnacentral:rRNA from 1 species